UAGGGAAUCUUCCGCAAUGGACGCAAGUCUGACGGAGCAACGCCGCGUGAGUGAAGAAGGAUUUCGGUUCGUAAAACUCUGUUGUUAGAGAAGAACAGCGCAUAGAGUAACUGUUAUGCGUGUGACGGUAUCUAACCAGAAAGCCACGGCUAACUACGUGCCAGCAGCCGCGGUAAUACGUAGGUGGCAAGCGUUGUCCGGAUUUAUUGGGCGUAAAGCGAGCGCAGGCGGUCAAUUAAGUCUGAUGUGAAAGCCCCCGGCUCAACCGGGGAGGGUCAUUGGAAACGGGUUGACUUGAGUGCAGAAGAGGAGAGUGGAAUUCCAUGUGUAGCGGUGAAAUGCGUAGAUAUAUGGAGGAACACCAGUGGCGAAGGCGACUCUCUGGUCUGUAAAUGACGCUGAGGCUCGAAAGCGUGGGUAGCAAACAGG
rnacentral:rRNA from 1 species